UUUAACGUCCACACCACGUUGAAUACACCGGUUCUCAUCCGAUCACCGAAGUUUAGCAACGUCGGGCGCGGUCACGGUCAGUACUUGGAUGGGUGACCGAGUGGGAACACCGCGUGACGUUGGCU
rnacentral:rRNA from 1 species